AACAGGAUUAGAUACCCUGGUAGUCCACGCCGUAAACGAUGAGUGCUAGGUGUUGGGGGGUUCCCCCUCAGUGCCGAAGGUAACCCAUUAAGCACUCCGCCUGGGGAGUACGGCCGCAAGGCUGAAACUCAAAGGAAUUGACGGGGGCCCGCACAAGUGGUGGAGCAUGUGGUUUAAUUCGAAGCAACGCGAAGAACCUUACCAGGGCUUGACAUCCCGCUGACCGGUGUAGAGAUACACCUUCCCUUCGGGGCAGCGGUGACAGGUGGUGCAUGGUUGUCGUCAGCUCGUGUCGUGAGAUGUUGGGUUCAGUCCCGCAACGAGCGCAACCCUUGUCGUCAGUUGCCAGCACAUUCAGGUGGGCACUCUGGCGAGACAGCCGGUGAAAGCCGGAGGAAGGUGGGGAUGACGUCAAAUCAUCAUGCCCCUUAUGUCCUGGGCUACACACGUGCUACAAUGGCCGGUACAACGGGCAGCGAACCCGUGAGGGGGAGCCAAUCCCAAAAAACCGGUCUCAGUUCGGAUCGCAGGCUGCAACUCGCCUGCGUGAAGCUGGAAUCGCUAGUAAUCGCGGAUCAGCAUGCCGCGGUGAAUCCGUUCCCGGGCCUUGUACACACCGCCCGUCACACCACGAGAGUCUGCAACACCCGAAGUCGGUGAGGUAACCUUCGGGAACCAGCCGCCGAAGGUGGGGCAGAUGAUUGGGGUGAAGUCGUAACAAGGUAACC
rnacentral:rRNA from 1 species